rnacentral:misc_RNA from 1 species
AUUUUUAUUCCUUUUAUAUUAUUAAUUUGUGAAAGACUGUUGGAAACAGACAUGUUGUGAAUUGAUCUAGAAGUUAGAAUGGUUCAUCAGCCUUAGUUGAAAUUAAGAAUUGAGGUUUUAAGUUUUAUUAAUAUUGACAAUUUGUGAAAGGUAGGAAAACAUCUGAACUUAUGUUUUCUAAGUAUCAGUUGAUUGUUGACCAACUCACUCACAUAAUUUACUGCAUCCUAUAGAUUCAUGUUAUUUGCAAUAUGAAUUCAUUAUCACCUAUGGUUAUGGACAGAAGCAUUUAGUUGCAAUGUGAAUUCAACCUCAUCUAAGGUUUUGGACAGAAGCUUAUCUCUCUGAGACUAUGCAUUUUUACAUGGUUG